AUAAAUGUUCCUUGACCUUUGAGUGAACCAACAGGUCUUAAAAGUUGCAUUUGCCAAAGCAAGUUCCCAUAGCAAAUAAAGUUUUCAGAUGAGUGCAUCAGAUUUUUUUCCCUCUUCGGCCUAAAGAGGAAUUACCAUCAGCCAUCACCAGGAAGAGCAAGUUAACUUUUCAGGUUGUUUCUCAGAGACCAUUUAAAGUCUGUGCUAUAGAGUAGGCAUGGCUCCAGUUCCAGAAGGAAGACUUGGGUCAAGUAGCUCACAGGCAAAUGACUUAAAUGCUUCUUAUAAGAUACUACCUGAAACAAUCUCUGCUUAAAACAUCCGAUCUCCAUAUUGUCGGAUCUUCCUAUAACUCUGGGAUGGCAGCUUUUAGUAGCAGCUAAAGAUAGCCAUCAUGUACGAGCAGAAUGCAUUCUGGGGCAAAGGGGAAAAUGGAAAAGUUCAGAAAUCCAUCUAGAAGAAAUAGGAUCCGUUGGUUGAAUCCAUACAUGCAGAACCCACAGAUAUGGAAAGCCAAAUGUGUAUCCAGGAGUAUUAUCUGUAUGGGCCAUUGAAUACAUAGAACUUAAUGUGACUUAAAACAUUAUAUUAUAAAUUAAUUUAGCAUCUAAAUGUAUGUUAAAUUAUAAGCGGACUCUUAUUUUUUAAAUAAACAAAUAAUCAUG
rnacentral:lncRNA from 10 species